rnacentral:rRNA from 1 species
UACGUAGGGUGCGAGCGUUAAUCGGAAUUACUGGACGUAAAGCGUGCGCAGGCGGAUAUGUAAGACAGAGGUGAAAUCCCCGGGCUCAACCUGGGAACUGCCUUUGUGACUGCAUGACUAGAGUACGGCAGAGGGGGAUGGAAGUCCGCGUGUAGCAGUGAAAUGCGUAGAUAUGCGGAGGAACACCGAUGGCGAAGGCAAUCCCCUGGGCCUGUACUGACGCUCAUGCACGAAAGCGUGGGGAGCAAACAGG